AGUGAACGCUGGCGGUAGGCCUAAUACAUGCAAGUCGAACGGCAGCACAGUAAGAGCUUGCUCUUACGGGUGGCGAGUGGCGGACGGGUGAGGAAUACAUCGGAAUCUACUUUUUCGUGGGGGAUAACGUAGGGAAACUUACGCUAAUACCGCAUACGACCUACGGGUGAAAGCAGGGGAUCUUCGGACCUUGCGCGAUUGAAUGAGCCGAUGUCGGAUUAGCUAGUUGGCGGGGUAAAGGCCCACCGAGGCGACGAUCCGUAGCUGGUCUGAGAGGAUGAUCAGCCACACUGGAACUGAGACACGGUCCAGACUCCUACGGGAGGCAGCAGUGGGGAAUAUUGGACAAUGGGCGCAAGCCUGAUCCAGCCAUACCGCGUGGGUGAAGAAGGCCUUCGGGUUGUAAAGCCCUUUUGUUGGGAAAGAAAAGCAGCAGGUUAAUACCCCGCUGUUCUGACGGUACCCAAAGAAUAAGCACCGGCUAACUUCGUG
rnacentral:rRNA from 1 species